GAUCAAGCGAAUAAGUGCAUGUGGUGGAUGCCUUGGCGAUUACAGGCGAAGAAGGACGUACAAGCCUGCGAAAAGCUCUGGGGAGCUGGCAAUGAAGCUUUGAUCCAGAGAUGUCCGAAUGGGGCAACCC
rnacentral:rRNA from 1 species